AUGUGCGAUUCUUUGAACCAGUCUGCCAUGGUGAGAGCUACUGUGUUCCACCAUCUCACUGCCUUGAAAGCCUCAACUGCCUUAUUUGUGCUUGCAGUUCUUGUUCCAAAUUAUGUUCAAGGGCGACUUCAUUGGCAUGAUUGUCCUCCUUUUUCAUGUGGCCCUCUUAGGGAGGUAUCGUCGCCAUUUCGUCAGGCAGGUGAUCCAUCCUGGUGCGGUUUUGCAGUGAUACCAAGGCUACAAUUCACAUCAACAAUGCAACAUACCAUGUGUCUCGCAUCAACACUACUUUUUCUUACUUCUUGGUUGUUGAUGCUAUCUUGGACUUACUUGACCAGUGCCCUCUUCCUAGCUGGAAUCGGCCUUUUAAUGAACACAAAUAUGGUCCAGAUGUUUCACACCCUGAAGUUGAAUUAG
rnacentral:rRNA from 1 species